AAAUACGCAUGGGUGCUCGACAAACUUAAGGCCGAGCGUGAACGUGGUAUUACCAUCGAUAUUGCCCUCUGGAAGUUUGAAACCACCAAGUACUACUGCACAGUCAUCGAUGCCCCCGGACAUCGUGAUUUCAUCAAGAACAUGAUUACUGGUACUUCCCAGGCCGAUUGUGCCGUUCUCAUCAUUGACUCCACCACUGGAGGUUUCGAAGCUGGUAUUUCCAAGGAUGGGCAGACCCGUGAGCACGCUCUUCUCGCUUUCACUCUUGGUGUGAAGCAAAUGAUCUGCUGUUGUAACAAGGUAAUGAAUUAAUAAUUAUUCUUGGUUGUUUUGUUAUUCAAUAUAUUUUUAUCUAUGAUGCUUACUGGUAUGAUGGUAUUUUUGUAGAUGGAUGCUACCACCCCUAAAUACUCCAAGGGUAGGUACGAGGAAAUCGUGAAGGAAGUGUCUUCAUACUUGAAGAAGGUCGGAUACAACCCAGACAAAAUCCCAUUCGUUCCAAUCUCUGGAUUCGAAGGUGACAACAUGAUUGAGAGGUCAACCAACCUUGACUGGUACAAGGGACCAACCCUUCUUGAAGCUCUUGACCAGAUCAACGAGCCAAAGAGACCCACAGACAAGCCACUCCGUCUACCACUUCAGGAUGUUUACAAGAUCGGUGGUAUUGGAACUGUGCCAGUGGGACGUGUUGAGACAGGUAUCAUCAAGCCUGGUAUGGUUGUGACCUUCGGACCAACAGGGUUGACCACUGAAGUCAAGUCUGUUGAGAUGCAUCAUGAAGCUUUGACCGAAGCUCUUCCUGGUGACAAUGUUGGGUUCAAUGUUAAGAAUGUUGCUGUGAAGGAUAUCAAGCGUGGGUAUGUUGCCUCAAACUCCAAGGAUGAUCCUGCUAAGGGUGCUGCCAGUUUCACUUCCCAGGUUAUCAUCAUGAACCACCCUGGUCAGAUCGGAAAUGGUUAUGCUCCAGUGUUGGAUUGCCACACUUCUCACAUUGCUGUUAAGUUCCAAGAGCUGUUGACCAAGAUUGACAGACGAUCAGGAAAGGAGCUUGAGAAGGAGCCCAAGUUUUUGAAGAAUGGUGAUGCAGGUAUGGUUAAGAUGAUGCCGACCAAGCCUAUGGUGGUGGAGACUUUCGCAGAGUACCCACCUCUUGGAAGGUUUGCUGUGAGGGACAUGCGUCAGACUGUUGCUGUUGGUGUGAUCAAGAGUGUUGACAAGAAGGACCCGACUGGAGCUAAGGUGACCAAGGCCGCAGCCAAGAAGGGUGUCAAGUGAUAUGAUAGGUGUUGUGUUUUGGUGAUCGAGUCUUUUUAUUUUCUGUCUGUUUGGAUUACUAGUUUUGGACAAUCUUAUAUUUUGUUGAAGAGUUUUUGGUAUUGGAUCUGGGAAGUUUCGUUAUGUUGGAAACUUUCCCAGGUUUGAAGACUUUUGUUGUGGUUUAAAUCUAUAGUGGUCUAUGGCAUGAGUUGGUUUUUAAAAACAUUUAAAUCUAUUUUCAACAUUUUAUCAUCUCCUGGAAAUUUUAUUCUUGUUUAUUCAUUUGAAACGGUUUGAUAUUCUGUUUCGAAUCUGUUGCCUUACAAAAAUUUCAUCAAGGAAAAAAGAUGUGAUUGUAUAUGGGGAAGGAAAGGGAUUUACAAUGCAGCUCUCCUACAACUACGAAGCUCAAAUUUUUUGUAGCAAGAGACAAAACACCCUCUAAGAGGAUCAGUCGAAAGUGGAUAUAGAUGAGAAUUGUUGAGUGGAAGGACGGUGAUGGUAUCCAGCUGUUAAAAGUGAUUCGCAAAUCCAUUAAAAAAACCAACAAGAAGGAAAGUGGGAAGCAUUUUCUGAAGCUAUAUGAAUACAUAAAACAUAAAUAUAAAAUUAAGAAUAUCAGCAAUAUGAAGCUAAUUACGUCAUUAAGAAAAUAAUAAUGAAUGUGUUUUUUUUGCUAUUAUAUCUUGUAUAUUUUUGGUUUCAAAAUUUGUUGCUACAAUGUAUGUGCAAAAUUUAUGUUGGCAAAAGUGCUUAUGUUGAGAAAACAUCCUAAGUAUUUGAUAAUUGUGAUGUUUUAAUAUGAUAUAUAGGAGAUAUCCACUUUAAACCAUAAUUUUUUAGCCAAGGACGGAAAGGUUGGUCGAAACCAAAUUGGAAAACAGAUUUGACAGUCAAUUAGGUUCUCGGGCAUGUUUUCUAAAUAGCUGUGUAAGUCGACUUACUCACCAUUACAAAGGAGAGGUGAUAUUUUGGGUGAUGUGCAAUGGUAUUGGUUCGAGUACACACGCAUAAGUGGGUUUGACUUGAGUAGAGGGCAGUAUCACCCAAGAUAAGUUCAUCAUCGAAGGCUAAGAUUUCCAAUCAACCCAUUGUUUGUGUUGAUUAGUGGUUUUUGAUAUUUUUUUGGGGUUUUUAAGUAUGAAUUCUCCUGUGGAAAUUUGCACUUGUAAUUUAUUUAAGACCGUAAGCUAUUAAUCUCUAUUGGUUAAUUUGACAUUUAAACACUUGUAUUGUAUACAAUAUGCAUGUGGGGUUGCAACCCCAAGAUGAUACUUUGAAUGUGAGAUAUUAAAGUAACUAAUCACCAUCUCAUUGAUACUAAGUACAAACGACGUACACUUAACAAAGACAUGUGAUAAACUUGGUCAUGCACUUUAUUUUUUAUUGUAUAUGUCAAGUUCAGUUGUCGAAGAAUUUCAAUAUUUUAUGUUAAGGUUUUUAUGAUAUAAGGUUUUAUGUUAAGGUUUUUAUGAUUUACUUAACAAUUUGUUUGAUAAAUGAAAAUCUUAGGUACACUAACGAUUCAAUUAACUUAAAAUAAAUGGACAAAUCGAUUUAUAUUAUGUGAUAUAUAUUUUGUUAUAAUCAAAUGAUAUAUUUUUGAUACUUUUUUAACUACACAAGAUUGAAAAUUUAUAUUCAUUUGAUCUAUUUAUAUUAAAAUUUAAUUUGAAGCAAAACAUACAAACUUAUCUUGUGUACCUUUGCAGUUACUUAAUACAAAAUAUUUGAAAAUGACAUACUUGUUUUGUCAUUUGUCAAAUUUUUAAUCAAACUAGUUAAUCAAAAUUUAUAAUAGGUAGUAUCAACUAUGUAUCUAUUAUAGCAUUUAUUAUAGGUAGUAUCAAAGUAUGUAAUUUUUUUUUGAAUCAAUAAAUCUAAUCUACUUCUAAGCUAACAACACCUAUUUCACCUAUGUCAACGACGGGACUUGAACCCUCGACCUUAAAGAGGGAGGGCACCACCACUAUGUAUCAAAAGUUGGGGCUUAGUUAUUUAAUAAAGCAGUUGGCAUGUCAUUAACGAGAGAAACACCAAAUUUUAUGUAAAGUUAACCUAAUUUUUUUUAUAAAUACUCUUGUCACCUGGGUAGGAAUGUGAAAAUAAAUGUAGAAGGAUAUUUAAUUUCUCAUAAUGAUAAUAAUUAUUAUUAUAUUAAGGUCCCGUUUAAUAGACAUCUUUUCAAGUCUAAAAGAUUUGGAAAAAUGACUCUUGAGGGUAAUUAACUUUUGCGUUUGUACUCAUUUGGUCCCUUUUUUGUAUUCAAUAUACCAUAGGACUUGUUGUUUGCGUUCUUCAUAACCCUUUUGACCGACUUUUGACCUGUGAUAGCCGGUCAAAGGGUUAUGGUGAACACAAACAACAAGUUCGAUGGUAUAUUGAGUACAAAAAAAGGAAAGGGACCAAAUGAGAACGAACUCAACAGUUGGUUACCUUCCUGAGUCAUUUUCCCCGAAAAGUUAAAUGAAAUUAAAGUUGCAAAAUUAUCAAAGACUGCAACCUUCUUUGGCUAUAACGUAUAUGAAGAGCGUUUCAAAGGGAUAACCUUGUUAAAACAUGGUCUAUGUUAUGCUUACUGUGGUUAGCUGUCAACACCUCUUUGCAAAAGGAAAUGACUGUGUAUGAGAGGUAUAUUUAUCAGCAUAAACGUUUACCUCAAGGUAUAUUAUGGUGAUGUGUCUACAAAAGCAACAUGAUAUUGUACAUAUUGAUGUUGUAUCUUAUCCCAUGAAUUCGAUCUUAAAGCUAAGUAAACUCAAAAUUCACAACACUUGUGAUUCCACUCGUUUGUAGACUUGUCUAGAAUCCAUGAUACGAUAAAUCAUUUGAUUAGUAAUGUAAAUGUAGUCAUGAAAUGCGCCUGCUUAGUCAAGAUUCCCCUAAUAAGUAUUCAAGUGCAUUACAAAGUUGUACAUGUAUGAAUAAUGUUCUUUCGUGGGUUAUGUUUUGAAGAGAAGCAAGAAUGAAUCUCAUAAAAUCAUUAAUAUCAGUAGGAGAUGACGUGUGAUUUGCUAUAAAUGAGUAAAGGGAAAAUGAAUCAGGAGGGUAACCAACUGUUGCAUUUGUUCUCAUUUGGUCCAUUUCCUUUUUUUUGUGCUCAAUAUACCAUCGAACUUGUUGUUUGUGUUCACCAUAACCCUUUGACCGGCUAUCACAGGUCAAAAGCCGGUCAAAAGGGUUAUGGUGAACACAAAUAACAAGUUCGAUGGUAUAUUGAAUACAAAAAAAAUGGACCAAAUGAGUAUAAACUUAAAAGUUAAUUACCCUCAAGAGUCAUUUUCCUAAAAGGUUUUUCUGGUUGAAAAGGCUCAUAAUCUUAACAUAGGGAAGGACUCUCUUCUUAAGGCGGAGGGAGUAAAUUAAACGGAUGGUCACUGUGGUUAAGGGUUAUUUUCACGUUUUGUCCAUAAAAAGUUUUUUUUAACACAGACAAUCCUCAAAACUUAAAUUUGUUACCCACCUAGUCCCUAAAUUAACUUUUCGUCUAUUUUGCCGUUAAACAAUGGUGAAAAGACAUAUCUAUCCUUACUUUUAUAUUUAUUAUACAAUUAUUCUUGAAAAUGAAACCCAUCCCACCACAAAAUAUACCCUUAUAGGCCCACACUCCAUACCCUACAAUCGAUCAAUCAUGGUGUCGUAUCCCCCUCUCAGCACCUCCCUUCCGCAUACUGUUACCGGACACUCGAGACACCGACCAAACUCUCCGUAACUAGCCAUAUCAUCACCACCAAAAAACCACUCCCACUAUCCUAUCCCCAAUCUCGUCACCAAAAAUUUCGAUUUUUAUAUUAUAUAACCAUUAUUCAUAACAAUAUUAUAAACCAUAGUGAAAACAUAGUAUAUCAAAUAACAUCCAAAAACAUCAGAGUCAUGUAAAAUGCGGAACAAUGUGGUGUGUGCAAUGCAGUCGUCCUGAGCUCUUCCCCUUCGAACCAGAAGUACCUAAAACAUAAACUCAAAACCGUAAACACAAGGUUUAGUGAGUUCCCCAAAAUACCAAAUACCAUACAUAUUAAACAUAUAGUGGGUCCCACUCGUCAUCGGGCCCCACUCGGAAUAGAUAUGCCAGUCAUCGACCACGCCCGGUAUACAUACAAACACAUAAACACAUGCAAGAAUCACAAAGAUAAAUAACAUACAAUAUAAUCAUCAGGCCCCGCUCGAUAAAUAUCAGUAAACAUACAUGCAAGGUAACACAUAUAACUAGCAUUUUAAUCAUAAUAAACCAUGGGCCGAUAUUGGUGCCUUCGACCCACCAAACACAGUAAGGAAACUCACCUUAAGCUGUUGAAUAUCUCAGAUAAAAUCUCAGAGUGCUGAUCCAGUUAAUGAUUCGUCUACAAUCCAUGACUGGAACCCUGGUCCGAUGUCUAACCCUCACGGUAAAAGUCCAUUUUACGCUUUCCUCACUUGGCCAACAAUCCAAGGCCCAAUCCACUAGCACAAAAAGCCCAAUAUGACCCAACUUCCUAAUUGGGCCCAAAACCCAUCAUGGGCCUACUUCCAAGAAGGCCCAAAACCUAAGUAGCAUCCAAAGCUCCAAAUGGGCCCAAGCACAAUAAGGCCUAAAGUCAGAAAACUAGUGGCCCAUUAAGGCCCCAAAGCCCAAAACAGCGUCUCACGUCGUGACCAGUCCUUGGUCACGUCGUGAGACGUGUCCGUUCGGAUUAUGGGACCCACUUCUGAUUCAGACGACUCAACGGGGAUGACGACUCAUGCUCACAUCGUGAGACCUUAUGUUUCACGUCAUGAGGACGGUCUGAAGCAAAACUAACAUUCCAAUGAUCUUAAUUAGUCCAUCCCUCAAUUUCGACUCCUAUAGAGGCUUAAAGGGAGCCUAAUGGUCCAUAAAAAUGCUUGCUUUAUAGAAUUGCAUGCACCAUGCAUUUCCUUUCACCAUUUUAGGUCAAAGUGCAAAUAUGGCUUCAAGUUCUCAUGUAAGCUCUAUUAGUCCACCAAAUCCCAUAUCUGAAUGAUAUAAGACUCAAAAGACCAUUUGAAUCCAUAAAGUUGCUAACUUUAUGAAUCUAUGAUACGUGAAAUAUAUACUAGUUUUAAUCCUACUAAUCUAGACAAAAACUAACACACGAUAGGCAGUGUACCUAAUCAAAUAACAGUUUAGCGCAGGUAAGUAGGGUAUAGAACACAUGGAACAAUAAUGAUAAUUAAAAUUACUGCUAAUGUUAACUAAUUUAAAAAAUGAUUAAAAGGGGGGUAUUUCUCUAGUUUUACAAGACUAGAAACUUAAAUAAAUAAUCAAACACUUAACAAGGAAUCAGUUGACAACAAAUUAAGGAACACAAGACGAUUUGAAUCAAGAAUUAAUAUAAAAGAGACUUCCAUUUAUAUACGAUUCACAUACUCUUAUGGUUGAUUUCGUGGAAUCUGAAAUGGAUUAAUAUGUCAUCAAUUACCGAUUUAUAAUGUGAUUAGAUUAAUGUUCACUAAACUAAUCCUUUAGCAAACAAGUUAAUUCAAAUAGUGAUCAAUUGAUUAAACUAAUAAGUUCACUAGUAUUAAGUUCGAAUCAUGCAAGACUUAUAAUGGUGAUUAAUUCAAUUUGUUGAUUAAAUUAAUUUCAUAUAUGGUUGCUCGUCAUAUUUAACUCAUACAUCAAUUUACUUAUUUUUCUUAUUAUUCCUAGGUUUUGUUCAAAACACUAGUCUUACAAUCUUGAUGGUCACAAAACUAUAAGAUUCAAGCAAUCAAGAAAGAUAUUCAUACAAUCACAAUUAACUUAGUAAUUAACAAAAAAAUAACGAUCGUUAACAUAUAAGAUUCAAGCAAUCAAGAAAGAUAUUCAUACAAUCUCAAUUAACUUGGUAAUUAACAGAAAAAUAACUAUCAUUAACAUAUAAGGUUUUUUUUUAACAAGCUAGCAUGAUAAAUAAUCAAAUCAACAUAUUCUAAAACCACAAAAUCAACACAUAGUUGUAAGAUCCUCUACUCUAAACCAAAGUUAGGUUUUUACCCCAUGACUUCAGCAGAUACAAUCAUAGAAAUGAAAUUCACUCUUGCAAAUGUAACAUCCGAAAAAUACAAGCCAAAAAUUUCAUUUUUAAAACAUAUACUUAGUAAAGCAUUUAGAAAUAAAAGCGUCGCCGAUCAUAACAUUUCAUAAAAGAUAUCACAUGUCUGGAAAAAUUUUUCAUAAACAUAAUAAUGUCAGAGUACAAAUCCCCAGGAAGAUCUCAUAGUGUGGAAUACGAGGCAUGUGUGUGAUGGGCGGCUACCGCGCCAGAUCCUUCCCCUUCGAAGAAUAGGUACCUGAAACCAAAACUGAAAACUGUAAGCACGAGGCUUAGUGAGUUCCCCCAUAAUACCUCAUACCAUACAAACAUACAAUGAACAGCUAGGAGAUACGAGCCUCGCCCACACUCAUGAAGAUACGGGCCUCGCCUACACUCCGCUAGCUGGGAGAUACAGGCCUCGCGCACACUCCGCUAUCUGAGAGAUACGGGCCUCGCCCACAAUCCACUAUCAGAGAGAUACGGGCCUCGCCCACACUCAGCUGCUAAUCCAUGACAUACAAGUAUCACACAGACAACGAGUAUAGACAAAUCUAUCAUACUGACAUAUAUCAUAAUCAAACUCGACCAUGAGAUACGGGCUCUGCCCACACUCUGACACUAGCAUAUCAUCUAAUCGGGCCAGCCUUGGUGCCUUAGACCCGUUACUGCUAGAAGGAAACUCACCUCGAAGAGUAGCUACCGAAAGUCCGACUACUAGACGCCUGACUGCUGCACCGGUAAUCCUCCGGCUACAAACCCAUACACAUAGAUUAGCCACUCAUAAAUACCCUUAGGUCAAUUGAAUGGCCCAUCCCUGGUCCAAGGUCAACUCCUAGUUGACUGGACUCGCC
rnacentral:lncRNA from 1 species